AACAGACGGACGGCCACACGAAAAAAUAAAAAUAAAACAAAUACUGAAACGGUUCACUAUCAAUCAAAAAUCCAGACAAUGACAGAUAUAUCAUGUAUCAUGAUAACACUGUUAAAACUGUAAACUUGUGUUGUUUAUGAUAUAAAUUCAAGUUCUUCUUGUACAUAUUGUCAAUAUUUCAUUUUGUUACUUUAAAAAAAAUGGUGCAGAAAAUUCAGGGGAGGCAGUUGCCUCCCCUGCCUCAUAGGUAGUUACGGCCCUGGUCA
rnacentral:lncRNA from 1 species